CCUGCCUGGUAAGCGGGAAUAACCGUGAAAGACGGACUAAUACCGCAUAAUACUAAAUUACUGCAUGGUAAUUUAUUUAAACAUUUAUGGCUUACAGAUGGGCAUGCGCAUGAUUAGCUAGUUGGAGAGGUAACGGCUCCCCAAGGCAACGAUCAUUAGGGGUUCUGAGAGGAAGGUCCCCCCACACUGGUACUGAGACACGGACCAGACUCCUACGGGAGGCAGCAGUGAGGAAUAUUGGUCAAUGGACGAGAGUCUGAACCAGCCAAGUCGCGUGCAGGAAGAAUGUCCUAUGGAUUGUAAACUGCUUUUGCAGGGGAAUAAAGUGCAUCACGUGUGAUGUUUUGUAUGUACUCUGCGAAUAAGGAUCGGCUAACUCCGUGCCAGCCGCCGC
rnacentral:rRNA from 1 species